UGACCCUGACCAAAACAGACUGCGCACGCGUCAUCCAAUCCGUCGGCGACGGCAUCGUCCGUCGCUCGGCCAAUGCCUCGACCACCUCCCCUCCUCGGAGCGGGUGGGGGCUCGGGGUAAAAGAACCCACGGCGCCGAAGGCGUCAAGGAACACUGUGCCUAACCCGGGGGCAUGUCUAGCUUGCUAGCCGUCCCUCGUGUUGCAAAUCUAUUUAAUCCACACGACUCUCGGCAACGGAUAUCUCGGCUCUCGCAUCGAUGAAGAACGUAGCGAAAUGCGAUACCUGGUGUGAAUUGCAGAAUCCCGCGAACCAUCGAGUCUUUGAACGCAAGUUGCGCCCGAGGCCACUCGGCCGAGGGCACGCCUGCCUGGGCGUCACGCCAAAACACGUUCCCAACCACUCUCAACGGGAAUCGGGAUGCGGCAUCUGGUCCCUCGUCUCUCAAGGGACGGUGGACCGAAGAUUGGGCUGCCGGCGUACCGCGCCGGACACAGCGCAUGGUGGGCGUCCUCGCUUUAUCAAUGCAGUGCAUCCGGCGCGCAGCUGGCAUUAUGGCCUUUGAACGACCCAACAAACGAAGCGCAUGUCGCUUCGACCGCGACCCCAGGUCAGGCGGGACUACCCGCUGAGUUUAAGCAUAC
rnacentral:rRNA from 1 species